rfam:Epilithonimonas sp. 36-9 SCNpilot_cont_300_bf_scaffold_379, whole genome shotgun sequence.
UAAACGGAGGAGAACUUUGACUGAUUGCAACCUCAAUAAAAAAUGCUAAAACAGAUUUU